UGAGCGUGUCGGGCGGUCGCGCCGUACGUUCUGUGCGGCGAGGAAAGUCCGAGCAGGAAAGGGCACGGUGACGGCUAACUGCCGCCCCGGGAAACCGGCGGGAAAGUGCAACAGAAAAUAUUCAGCCGAUGAUCCCCUUAGGGACACAGGUAAUGGUGAAAUGGGGCGGUAAGAGCGCACCGCGAAACUGGGAACAGUUUCGGCAUGGCAAACCCCUCCGCCUGCCAGAUCAAGAAGCUGGUGCUCGGCCCGGGCCCUACCC
rnacentral:RNase_P_RNA from 1 species